GACGAACGCUGGCGGCGUGCCUAAUACAUGCAAGUAGAACGCUGAAGGAGUAGCUUGCUUCUCUGGAUGAUUUGCGAACGGGUGAGUAACGCGUAUGUAACCUGCCUUAUAUCGUGGUAUAACUAUUGGAAACGAUAGCUAAUACCGCAUAAUAUUAGAUGUUGCAUGACAUUUGCUUAAAAGUUGCAAUUUCCUCACUACCAGAUGGACCUGCGUUGUAUUAGCUAGUUGGUGAGGUAAAGGCUCACCAAGGCAACGAUACAUAGCCGACCUGAGAGGGUGAUCCGCCAAACUGGGACUGAGAAACGGCCCCGAACGCCACGGGAGGCAGCAGUAGGGAAACUUCGGAAAUGGACGGAAGUCUGACCGAGCAACGACGCGUGAGUGAAGAAGGGUUUCGGAUCGUAAAGCUCUGUUGUAAGAGAAGAAAGAGUGUGAGAGUGGAAAGUUCACACUGUGACGGUAUCUUAACAGAAAGGGACGGCUAACUACGUG
rnacentral:rRNA from 1 species